CACGGAGUUAGCCGGAGCUUACAAACGGUACCGUCAUCAUAGGGGGUAUUGUCCCCUACUAAUUCUUCCCGUUCUUGCGAAGUUUACAUCCCGAGGGAUUUCAUUCUUCACGCGGCGUUGCUGGGUCAGGCUUUCGCCCAUUGCCCAAAAUUCCCGA
rnacentral:rRNA from 1 species